UCAGGACGAACGCUGGCGGCGUGCCUAAUACAUGCAAGUCGAACGCUUCUUUCCUCCCGAGUGCUUGCACUCAAUUGGAAAGAGGAGUGGCGGACGGGUGAGUAACACGUGGGUAACCUACCCAUCAGAGGGGGAUAACACUUGGAAACAGGUGCUAAUACCGCAUAACAGUUUAUGCCGCAUGGCAUAAGAGUGAAAGGCGCUUUCGGGUGUCGCUGAUGGAUGGACCCGCGGUGCAUUAGCUAGUUGGUGAGGUAACGGCUCACCAAGGCCACGAUGCAUAGCCGACCUGAGAGGGUGAUCGGCCACACUGGGACUGAGACACGGCCCAGACUCCUACGGGAGGCAGCAGUAGGGAAUCUUCGGCAAUGGACGAAAGUCUGACCGAGCAACGCCGCGUGAGUGAAGAAGGUUUUCGGAUCGUAAAACUCUGUUGUUAGAGAAGAACAAGGACGUUAGUAACUGAACGUCCCCUGACGGUAUCUAACCAGAAAGCCACGGCUAACUACGUGCCAGC
rnacentral:rRNA from 1 species